rnacentral:rRNA from 1 species
CCUACGGGAUGCAGCAGUGGGGAAUAUUGCACAAUGGGCGCAAGCCUGAUGCAGCCAUGCCGCGUGUAUGAAGAAGGCCUUCGGGUUGUAAAGUACUUUCAGCGGGGAGGAAGGCGAUAAGGUUAAUAACCUUGUCAAUUGACGUUACCCGCAGAAGAAGCACCGGCUAACUCCGUGCCAGCAGCCGCGGUAAUACGGAGGGUGCAAGCGUUAAUCGGAAUUACUGGGCGUAAAGCGCACGCUGGCGGUCUGUCAAGUCGGAUGUGAAAUCCCCGGGCUCAACCUGGGAAUUGCAUUUGAAACUGGCAGGCUAGAGUCUUGUAGAGGGGGGUAGAAUUUCAGGUGUAGCGGUGAAAUGCGUAGAGAUCUGAAGGAAUACCAGUGGCGAAGGCGGCCCCCUGGACAAAGACUGACGCUCAGAUGCGAAAGCGUGGGGAGCAAAUAGGAUUAGAUACCCCCGUAGUC